rnacentral:rRNA from 1 species
UGGGGAAUAUUGCACAAUGGGCGAAAGCCUGAUGCAGCAACGCCGCGUGAGUGAUGAAGGUCUUCGGAUUGUAAAGCUCUGUCUUUUGGGACGAUAAUGACGGUACCAAAGGAGGAAGCCACGGCUAACUACGUGCCAGCAGCCGCGGUAAUACGUAGGUGGCGAGCGUUGUCCGGAUUUACUGGGCGUAAAGGGUGCGUAGGCGGAUGUUUAAGUGAGAUGUGAAAUACCCGGGCUUAACUUGGGUGCCGCAUUUCAAACUGGAUAUCUAGAGUGCAGGAGAGGAGAAUGGAAUUCCUAGUGUAGCGGUGAAAUGCGUAGAGAUUAGGAAGAACACCAGUGGCGAAGGCGAUUCUCUGGACUGUAACUGACGCUGAGGCACGAAAGCGUGGGUAGCAAACAGGAUUAGAUACCCUGGUAGUCCACGCCGUAAACGAUGAGUACUAGGUGUAGGAGGUAUCGACCCCUUCUGUGCCGCAGUAA